AACUAUAAAUACAUCUCACUUGUCCUUAGGGAUAGACUCAAGAAAAUAUCUCAGUAGGUAGAGCAAUAAUGGCGAGUGAUGGUGAAGUGAUAAGCAACAAGCAAGUGGUAUUCAAUAACUUUGUUGAAGGUUUUCCAAAAGAAUCAGACAUGGAAGUGAAAACUAGCUAGAUGUCGUUGAAAGUAGAAGAAGGUUCAAAUGCAAUUGUUGUUAACGGGCUGUUAUUUUGUUGGGAGUGCUGGAAGUAAAGAAAAAGUGAACCAAAUCUACCAGAAACAGUUUAACAAUUCCUUUAUUUUAGCUUUACUUUCGAUAUCAAGUCGAAAAUCAUUAGAGAAAUUCAUGUUGUUACCUUCUUCUCUACUUUGUUAGGUUGAAUUAUUGAAGAACAUGUUUGGUUUUGAUGGAUGCUUUCAAUUAUAAGGAGGAACAUGACUUGGAUGCAGCUUUGAAAAGGUUCGUAUCACUACAUAGAAGCUUCUGGCUGGGCGCCAGAGGGAGCAGAGGCAGGGGCGAUUUUGAUGUGCUUUUUUGUAACAUCACUAGUCCAAUAGCAUAAUCUACUGUCAAGAUACAGUUGGCUGUGGACACAAUCCGUCAAAACAUGUCAUGUCUACUGUGCUUUACUAAUGUGCGUCCGUGGAGGUAUUGACAUUUACUUUGAGAAUGCAGUGGGGGAAAUGCUUGAUGCAGUGCUUCUAAACAUGAGACUUCGAGGGCGAAUCGCCACUUGUGGAAUGAUCUGACAGUAAAAUCUUAGUCCACCUGAGGGUGUACAUAACUUGAUGAACAUUGUUGUGAAGCAAAUCCACAUGGAAGGACUUGUGGCCUUUGAUUAUUUUCCCCAAUAUGCCAAGUUUUUAGAUGUCGUGCUGCCUUUUAUCCGAGAAAAGAAGGUCGUUUAUGUGGAAGACAUCGCGGAAGACGUCGAAAGUGCUCCUGCUGCUCUUGUAGGUUUGUGUAGUAGAUGCAAUGUUGGAAAACAAGUAGUUGCGGUUGCUGAGGAGUGAUUUAAUGGAGUCUUCUUUGUAAAUCUUUAUGCCAAUGUUGUACUGAAUCCUGUUUCUGGUAAUAAGAACAAUAAUAAUAAUAAUCUGUCAA